rnacentral:rRNA from 1 species
GAUGAACGCUGGCGGCGUGCUUAACACAUGCAAGUCGAACGAAGCACUUUAUUUGAUUUCCUUCGGGACUGAUUAUUUUGUGACUGAGUGGCGGACGGGUGAGUAACGCGUGGGUAACCUGCCUUGUACAGGGGGAUAACAGUUGGAAACGGCUGCUACUACCGCAUAAGCGCACAGCAUCGCAUGAUGCAGUGUGAAAAACUCCGGUGGUAUAAGAUGGACCCGCGUUGGAUUAGCUAGUUGGUGAGGUAACGGCCCACCAAGGCGACGAUCCAUAGCCGACCUGAGAGGGUGACCGGCCACAUUGGGACUGAGACACGGCCCAAACUCCGACGGGGGGCAGCAGUGGGGAAUAUUGCACAAUGGGCGAAAGCCUGGUGCAGCGACGCCGCGUGAGCGAAGAAGUAUUUCGGUAUGUAAAGCUCUAUCAGCAGAGAAGAUAAUGACGGUACCUGACUAAGAAGCACCGGCUAAAUACGUG